rnacentral:rRNA from 1 species
GUGCACGCUGGCGGUAGGCCUCACCCCUGCCAAUCGAACGGCAGCACAGUAAGAGCUUGCUCUUACGGGUGGCGAGUGGCGGACGGGUGAGGAAUACAUCGGAAUCUACUUUUUCGUGGGGGAUAACGUAGGGAAACUUACGCUAAUACCGCAUACGACCUACGGGUGAAAGCAGGGGAUCUUCGGACCUUGCGCGAUUGAAUGAGCCGAUGUCGGAUUAGCUAGUUGGCGGGGUAAAGGCCCACCAAGGCGACGAUCCGUAGCUGGUCUGAGAGGAUGAUCAGCCACACUGGAACUGAGACACGGUCCAGACUCCUACGGGAGGCAGCAGUGGGGAAUAUUGGACAAUGGGCGCAAGCCUGAUCCAGCCAUACCGCGUGGGUGAAGAAGGCCUUCGGGUUGUAAAGCCCUUUUGUUGGGAAAGAAAAGCAGCAGGUUAAUACCCCGCUGUUCUGACGGUACCCAAAGAAUAAGCACCGGCUAACUUCGUG